rnacentral:lncRNA from 1 species
GAUUUUAUGAAGCUGUGGUCCUAUUACCUCUGCAAAAGGCACAAGCUCUUGACCCUGCUGGUGAUGCUUUUAAUGAGCAAAUAGAUGAUGGAAUUCGAGAUCAUGCACUUGCUCAACGUGAGCAGUGCUAUGAGAUUAUUGCCAGUGCUUUGUAUUCUCUAAAAGGUGAAGCUUCAAAAAGGGAAUUUGGAUCUCCUAUCAGACCUGUCGCUCAAUCUACUCUAUUCUCUAAAAGGUGAAGCUUCAAAGAGGGAAUUUGGAUCUCCUAUCAGACCUGUCGCUCAAUCUACUCUUGAUCAAGCUUCUCGGAAAAAGUAUAUAUGCCAGAUUGUCCAACUUGGUGUGCAAUCUUCUGACAGAGUUUUUCAUCACUAUCUGUAUCGUACCUUAAUCGAUUUGGGCCUGGAAGAUGAACUACUGGAAUAUGGUGGCCCCGAUUUGGUGCCUUUUCUGCAAAAUUCUGGCCGUGAACCUACAAAUGAGGUUUGUUUAUGAAGAUUUCAUGAAGGCGGUAUUUUCUGUAUAUAUUUACAUACAUUGAGCAAGAGUUACUUGUACAAAAGGUCCUAUCGUGAACCAGCAAAUGAGGUUUGUUUAUGAAGAUUUCAUGAAGGCGGUAUU